AUGGCCAUCCGGGGCCUCCGAUCGAUCACGCUCACGGCCUUCGUCAGGGCGACCCGGUCUCGCCCAUGCUCUUCACCUUGGUCAUCGACGUAUCGCUUGACCAACCAUCACGCAGCUUCGAGCAUAUCCCUCUAUGCCGAUGAUGUGGUCAUCUUUUGCCACCCGGACUCUCACGACCUCGCCACGGUUCGCAGGCUCCUCCACAUCUUUGGCCUCGCUUCUGGACUGCGCACCAACUUUGGCAAGUGCUCGGCCACUCCUAUUCAAUGCACCGACGACCACAUUGCUGCUAUAGCCGGGGAGUUGCAAUGCCCCGUCACUCACUUUCCCAUCACCUACCUCGGGCUGCCCCUCUCAGUCCGCAAGGCCUCUUCGACGAGCUUGGAGCCGAUCAUUGACAAGCUUGGGCGCAAGCUCUCCACAUGGCGGGCAUCUAUGCUAUCCAAGGGAGACCGCCUAUCCCUUUUGCGCCACGUCCUUAGUGCCAUCCCCACACACUUCCUCAUGGCCAUCGCCUUCAGCGGCACUGCCAUCAAGAAGGUGAACCAGAUCAUCCGCAGAUUUCUAUGGGCUGGAUCGGAUAAGGCCAUGGGGGCCAGUGCCUUGUCAACUGGCAACGUGUAUGUCGGCCGAUCUCCCUCGGUGGCCUUGGCAUCCGUGACAUCCAGUGUACGGGCAUCUCUCUCCGCGUUCGCUGGCUAUGGCUGCAACGUACCGAUGCUACUCGCCCGUGGAGCCACCUUCACAUCCCCCACGAUGCGGAUGCUAGUGCAAUUUUCAGAGCCUCCACAACUUGGCAACUGGGAGCAGGAGAUUCUUGCCGAUUCUGGACCAACCAUUGGAUCUCUGGCAGGUCCGUGGCCGAGAUUGCCCCCCUCGUUCUAG
rnacentral:rRNA from 1 species